GAAAUAUGAAGAAUCAAAUAAAAGCUUCUAACUUUUUUUUUUAACGAUUAAAUUUCGUUUAUAUUUCU
rnacentral:tRNA from 1 species